rnacentral:lncRNA from 10 species
UGAAUGUGGUGCAGAGGGACAUGUUCAAGAUUGACCCAACUGUGCCUUUUGGGCCACAAGUUCUUGGCAGAAUUCUUUCCUUUAGGACAUUUUGCAGUUUUAUGCUCUGUGACUGUCCAAGACGGGAACAACCCAUGCUCUAUUUCCCAAAUUCAUGUGACCAUGGGAGUCCUCCUUCACCGGGCUCCUUCUGUUGCCUGUUCUGUGAAUCACACUUUGGGAAGGUUAUAAAUGAGAUGAAAAUGACAGGAAGUUUCUUUAGAAAAUGUAUAAAAUGUAUUUGAAUGAAGAGCGGGAGGAGGAACGGCUGCUCUGGGAGCCUCUUGUGGCUGAGUGUGCCAGGAACGCACCCAACAGGAGCAUGACAAUAUCUGCUGAAAGAAUGAAUAAAUGAAUAUUUCCAAAUGCCUGCAGGACUUCCGUGAGAUGACUCUUACUGCCAUUUCCACAGGCUCAAAAACAACUGUCCUUCUUUUUCAUUCUGUGUGUGCAUUUUAUAUCUAGGCUGUUGAUUGGAAUAGAAAUAAAAAGGGCUGCGGAUAUG